UAUUGGAUUAGUGAGAGGAGUAGCGAUUGGUCCGACUCCUGUCCCCAACGGAGCCGUUCAGCUGGCCGGGCGCAGGCGUGUGCCGCGGGGAAGUGGGGGGCGGUGUCCCCCUUUGCCCCAAGCCGCGCGCCCCGCUUCCGGACCGGUGCUGCCUGGCGGGCUCCGUUCCGACCUGUGUCGUUGCCAGCAAGAUUUCCACGGAGUUUCCCCUUUUUGAAGGAGAAAAGAAAAGCCCGUUGUUCAGUGAGAAGCGGAAGGGAUCACUUCAAGUCUAGGGGAGAGUGGGGAACAUCGCUGUAAAUGAAGUAAAAUAUUGAGCCGAGGGGAUUGAAGUGACAGUGUUAAUCGUUGUGUGCUUACUUUGGGAAAUUGAAUUUGUACAGCGAUGUGUGUAAUAAGGGUGUGCGUGUGCGUGGGGGAUAGGUGCCAUAAUUGGCAGUGAACCCACUACUGUUUACAGAAGGGGAAAUCGAGAUAGUUGUCGUCCAGACCUACAAUGAUAAGUGCAGCUCAUACAUCUAUAACAGGGGCAUUGUGCACCCAUAGCGCGCGUCAGAAAUACACUUGUGGGCGCAGCACGCGCCAGAUGAAGGCACGGAGGGGAAAUCCCUGCUGAGUGCUGCCCUCCUGUGGCCACGCCGGGCAUCGCAGCGCGGAGGUACCGCCGGGAACAAGCCAGCUCCGUGCUGCCGUGCUGUGGCUCACCCGCGGCCCUGCAGCCCGGCUGUAGGGCAGAGGAAAUAAAGGCGGCUCCGUGCUGCCCUCCUGGGGCUGGAGCGGCGCUUGGAGCCCGGAGAUGAGGGCCCGGAACAAAGCCGGCGCCGUGCCGCCCUCCCUGCGCUUCAACCUGCGCGCUGCAGCUGGGUUUUCAAGCCAAAGAAAAGAAAAUAUUCCCCUGCGCUACUUCCCUGUGCUUUAAUCUGGGUUGCGCGGCAGCGAGAGCACGAAAAGCGGCUCCGGCCGCGCACCUGUAGCUCAGGCAGGCGGGAGAUAAAGGCAGGGAGAAAAGAAAAAAGACGUGGCUCGCUCGGCCGGGGCCAGGCGGGCUCGCGCUGCCCGGGGCGCGCACACGAUUCCCGGGACAUUGAUCCCAGCCCGGGGAGCGCGGCAGGCCCGGGAUCGGAGUCUCGCGUUUCCAUUGGCCAUAUUAAGACAUGAGGCGAUUGGGUGGAGUUGCCACUUGGGCGGGAUCAGGGCCGCUCCGCCCUUCUUUGCUCUGAUUGGCCUCUGCUGACGGAGGCGGGUUCAGGCGAACGCCCUCCGCUGGCCCGGGCACCCGAGCGGUCGCGGAGCGCUGCGGCAGGCUGCUCUGACUGCCAGGGCGGGGCGGGAGGGAGAUUGCGUUCCCCACCCUGCGGGGCCUGUCAGGCUCUCUUCUGAGGCUGGUGUUGAAGCGUGAAGCUGUGUCUGUCCCAGUGCCCUUUUCUCUCCUACUCCCGCCUGCGUAGCCUCCCUGUCUCCUCGUCAUGCUGGGUGGUGGUCUAAGGGGGUGCACGUGGGCCCCCAAGAAGGACUGUUUGAAGCACCACGAGACGUCAAUUCAAUUGUACGGGAGAGUUUGGGAUCUUUGGUGUAAAAUAAGGUGGGGAUCGGGAUAUAGAUAUUAAUGUAUUCUCCCGGAGCAGCCGGGAUUUCAAGCCAGAAAAAAUAAAAACGUGUGGUAUGCUGCUCCCUUUCUUUUGAACCUGGGCUUUGCAGCCAAAUCAUGAAGACAGAGAGAAAAAAAACCCAGCUCCGGCCGUGGACCUGUUGCUUAGGCAGGGAGGAGAUAAAGGCAGAGAGAGAAGACGACCACAGGCCCCCUCGUGCGGGGCGUAAGUCGGGCAGUGCCCGCGGCGGGCACGUGAUUCACAGAUGUGGAUUCAGGGCCGGGGACCGCAGCAAGGCCGAGCCAGGAUUGGAGGCUCGUGUUCCUAUUGGCCAACAUGAGGCGUGCAGCGAUUGGGUGGAGUGGCCUCUUGGGCGGAGUCAUGACCACUCCUCCCUUCGCUUUGAUUGGAGUGCCGGGGAGGCGGGACCAUGAGACUGAGUUCAUUGUUCCUAUUCUGAUUGGUUACCGGGGACUGGUGGGUGGUGUGCGGGCUUCUGUGCGCCGAUUGGUCCGGCUCCGAUCCCCAGCGGCCCCGCUCAGCUGUCCGCGUGCGCCUGACGGCUCUGCGACCGGAUGUAGCGGCGACCACGUGCGGGAGAUCGCGCUCCCCAUGGCGGGAGCGCCCGGCGCGGCGGUGCUAGCGCCCACGUGCUGCUCCUCGUGCCCCCGUCCUUGGAGCCGGCGUGUCAGCGAGGAGCCGCAGCCACAAAGAACUGGGGCUUGGGGCCGAAGGACCCCCAGGAGCUGUCGUGUCUGCAAGGGUCGAUCCGGGCACUUAGACGGGUGUGCGGGGCCUGCAGCGCUGCCUCGCCAACAGCCGAGGCGCCACGGACGACAGGUGAGUACGUGUUUCUGCUUUGACACGCUCACUGGACACUCGGUUUCUGCCUGGACACACAUUGUCCACGUGUCCUGCUCCAGCGGUAACACCUCCAGUGACGGCAGCUCUUGCCUCUAACUGCCGGUAGCACCCCCCACAAACAGUGACCUGCACGUUGGUUCGCAGGAUGCUGGGGGCCCAGACCCCACAGAUUUUGUAUUCUCCCUGCCUG